rnacentral:rRNA from 1 species
UACAGAGGGUGCAAGCGUUAAUCGGAAUUACUGGGCGUAAAGCGUGCGUAGACGGUUACAUAAGUCGGGUGUGAAAACACCGGGCUUAACUCGGUGCUUGCUUUCGAUACGGGCAGACUAGAGGCAUGCAGGGGGAGAACGGAAUUCCUGGUGUAGCGGUGGAAAUGACGCAGAUAUCAGGAGGAACACCGGUGGCGAAGGCGGUUCUCUGGGCAUUACCUGACGCUGAGGAGCGAAAGUGUGGGGAGCGAACAGG